GCUUCAUAAGCUAAAAUGAUCAAUUGGAAGGCUUUGGACAACGUACCUGUACUCUUGUACAUUUUAGCCCUGAAGACGCUGAUCCUAUGUUUGGCCUUCGCUGGGGUGAAGAUCUACCAGAGUAAAAAGGCCGAGGCAGCGCUCAAGCAGCAGCAGGCCGAGAGGAGGAAGUUGGCCCGGAGGACACAGGAGCUCAUCGAUAACAUGAAGGAAGACUAAGAGGAGCUGCUCAACGCGCGUAUUAAAGCCGACUUGCCAGUUAAUGUACCAACUAUAUGUUAAUCAGGGGGCCGAGCACCACGUCGUGACAUGACCUGACCGUCUGCAACAUCAACUACUCAACAUGUCACCUUGAUACGUUUGCUCGUGUGUCCUACAUGAAAUCGCACAGCACACAUAAAGUAUUUAUUGAAUUUUGGAAUAUGUUUUAUUUGUAGUUAAAUGGAUAAAAGAUUAUGCAACACC